CUUUUCUGGCUACUGAAGUGGAGAUGCAGGGGGAGAUGAUCAAUCGGAUUGAGAAGAACAUCCUGAGCUCAGCGGACUACGUGGAACGCGGGCAAGAGCACGUCAAGACGGCCCUGGAGAACCAGAAGAAGGCGAGGAAGGUGAGCCUCCCAGGCCCGGCCACUGUCCCAGGCACCCUGUGUGUCUUCCCUGACCCCCUCCUCUCCCACAGAAGAAAGUCUUGAUUGCCAUCUGUGUGUCCAUCACCGUCGUCCUCCUAGCAGUCAUCAUUGGCAUCACAGUGGUUGGAUAAUGUCGCACAUUGUUGGCACUAGGAGCACCAGGGACCCAGGGCCUGGCCUUCUGUCCCAGCAGCCUGGGGGGCAGGGCAGAGCCUCCAGUCGGACCCCUUCCUCACACUGGCCCCUAUGCAGAAGGGCAGACAGUUCUUCUGGGGUUGGCAGCUGCUCAUUCAUGGUGGCCUCCUCCUUCAGGCCUCAAUGCCUGAGGGAGGCCUGCACUGUCCUGAUUGGCCAGGACACACGAUUUUGUAAAAAAUUAAAAAACAAAAAAAGAGCAUAGAAA
rnacentral:sRNA from 1 species